UUUAAAAAAACAUCAAAAUUUACUAUUUUUAAGGUUAACUAAUGUUUGAUUAAAUAUUUUAAUAGAGGUUAAGUGAAUAUCGAGGCCAAAUCAUUUCAAAGAUCCAAGUAAAUGUGUUUGAAGAAAAAUUAUCUAUGUUCCCUUUACAAUAAACACUCCAACUAAUCAAGACUAUUGAUGUGUUGAUUGGAACCAGGUAGUCGAAGUGAUCGCUAUCAAAGCGGUACUUUUACUGACGCCCUUUCCAAGACAAAGAAUUUGUCCGAUAGCGACUCAUGAUCGGCAAAGACAUACUCGUGUUGCCAACUGCAGGUCCGUCACAGUGGAGGGGAGGAAAACGACAUUGUAAGGCCCAACUGGCAAGGCAUGUUCCUUACAUUCAACCGUUCAGCUGUAUGUACGCGGACAGGAUCUAGCCAGCUGCGGCCUUCUUCGACCUUCCCCCCACCAGACCGGAAUCGAGCCUUCUGGCCAACUAUACAAACCGGUACCCCAGCGUUCUAACAAGGAACAUCCGCGAAGCUCCGCCUUCGAUCUUGAUGGUGGUAGUUAAAUGAAAGACAAUUAUGCCAUAUGGAAUGCAGUGGAGAAUUAGCAGAAUAAGUGGAACAUAAAAAUAAACGAUUUAAAAAAAAAGAAGAGAAACAGGGACCAAUUCACAUCAAAUUCAAAGUACGUUUUGUUCAAAUAACUUUUACUAAUUAUAGUUUAACAUAUGUUCUUGCGAAUAAUUCAAUUUUUUGCCAUGACAAUCUCUAAUUUGAUGCAAUCACGAUCGAUCGAAGACAAUGAAAUCUAUUUUAAAAAUCGAAACGGAUCGAGAGAAACGUUAUUACUACAAGCUAUGUCAGGGAUAGUUGAAGUCGAUUGUAAGGAUUCCUAUUUAAAGCCUUCGACUAGCUCAUAUAAAUAGCAUUGUUCACCUUGGAUAACGAAG